CACUAGAUUGUGGUGUAAUUAUCAGAGAGGAACAGGAAAUGGAGAGAAAAGCAACUUGCACAGAGCAAGAAAUACACGGAAAGAAAGCAGAAUGGAACUAUGUGCAAUGAACAAGAAAAGAGACCUUGGAUUAUACCCAUGCAAGAAAGUGUGGCCUGUGACCUCCAUUGCUUUGUAAUUGCAGGGUGAGGAAAUAUGACUCAGCAAAAUAUUUUAUUUCUGGUGAAUUCAAACAACAAACUAUCUCUAUGCACCUAAGAAGGGGAGAUCAGGAACAAGCAAACAGCAGAGUCAGACAAUCUCCAUUGCCUUUGUUUGGCUUCCAGAAAAUCAGUGUUCGAGCUGGGCAGGAGGAAGAGAUAAGCCAAUGGCUUCCUCUCCGAGAUCAUUAGCCUGGCGAGUCGGGAGAAGGCAAACAGCAGUGCAAGAGUUCAUGCUCUUGCCACUGGGCUGCAGUCUGACACCAUCUUGCUUUUUCUCAUGGAGGCCACUGAACAUGCUCUGUGCCUCCACGACGUUCUGUCCUGAGCUAAAUCCGGCAUGUUACAAGGUAGGAUGUCAGUGAGGGACAGGUGUCUGUUGACACUGUCUGGCCAUUGUGUUUUAGGUAUUCCGGUAUAUCGCUUUCAUUGGGUCAAAGUUGAAGAUAAUUCUCACAGGAAGUCAGUAGGCAUUCGGCGCAGCUGGCCAUGCCAUCACAGAGAGCGUCGGGUGACCGUUUGAGAGAGCGGGACUUGUUAUGUUAGAAAAUGGAUCUCUUCAUUUGACUUGAAUUUCUGCCAUUUGAUUUAAUCUUUCAGAGACGCUUGGUAGUGAGGGGUAUGUUUCAGUCUCACAGGGCAGAUUGCUGACCACCAACGCAUUAUAUAGCCUUGGCUUCAUCUCUCUAUGGAUCAGGAUGUUCAAUUUGCAAAAGAUGUUCUUAAUGGGGAGCCCCAUUGCUGACAAUGCUUUUGCAGUGUGGCCUUCAAGUUGUUUCUCAUUGCCACCCACGUAAUCAACAACAGAGCCAAGGAGGGUGAAAUUAUUGACAAUCUCAACUGGGUGGUCGCUCACUAAUAGGCUAGAGCCCCUGGCAUAUUCAUGUUCAACCAGAAGAAUUUUGGUUUUACCCCAGUUAAUUUUCAGGGUGACUUUUGCCACUGAGCUUCCCAGGGCUUUAAGAACCACAACUAGCUCGUCCAUUGGUUCCACAACUAGUGCUAUGUCAUUAGCAAAGUCAGUGUUGGUGAGGUUCUUAUCAUCAAGGCAGAUGUGUAAAAUGUAUUUAAUUAGUGUCUCAUCAAGCAAGCAGUCUAUGAUGGCAUUGAAGAGUUCUGGGGCAGCAAAACGUCCUUGCUGAAUGCCCGACCUAAUUCAGAAGACCGCGGUUCUUUUCCCAUUUACAAGAAUGCAGCUUGAGGAGUCAUCAUAUAGGAGCUGGACCAUUCUACAAGGAGGCUGAACAUUCAGGAGGGAUCGUUCAAUAUCUCAGGAAAAGUACUUGAUGCUUCAGGACCUCCAGACACAAAAGGUUCUUCACUGGCAAUAAAGAGUAUCUUACUCUUUGUCAAAGCACCAGCUGUCACCCAUGAUCCAGAAGCGAAGGACCCAGAAUACCCUGGUCACCACCUUUUCAUGGGGAAGAGAAAACUGUGUUCCUGGUCACCUUGCCAGAGCACCAGUUUCAGGCCCAGGGCUAAGGACUGACAAAGCCGAGGAGAUGGUGCUCUCUCAUAAAGACGAUCCAUUCCCAUCAGAUGGCACAGUGUGAGGAACCCUACAACGUUGUUGCUUGUUCCAUGACUAGAGGACAACAGUCUCCUGGAGGGUCACUCUAGCUUCUCUCACCGGGACUAAUUUCCCCUGGAUUUCUUGUGCUAAUACGUGCCAGUUUGUAGCAUUACACACACUCUGCAUGCCUGCACGAAGAAUGUCUGGCAAUCUCCGUUAUGGCUAGAUCCAAGUAGAUAAUUGGGAGCUGAUACUUAAUUAGUCAAACUUUGCCUCAUUUUCUGUUUGGAAAAUGCUGACGCACAUAUUUCCAAAUGUCUCACAUCUUGUUACUUGACAUUAUCCAUGGAUUUCUUUGUGAAUGUUUCCCUUCUACCAAGAGCUCACAGUCUGCUGUGAAUAUUCAAUAUUAGAAUCUGAACAUCCUUGCUGCAUUGCUUAGUUAAAUAAGUCACAUGGUUUAGCUUCUCUUCCAUGAUUGGAUGAUUUAUAUAACUAACGUUACAAUCACAUGCACAAUUCGCACAAUUUGCAAUUUGCUUUGAGUGAAUAAUUGAGGUUCAAAUAUACUUUUCACACAUAUUUGUCCUAGUACAGCUCAGUUUGUAGAUUUGCUGUAUUGAAAACUGUGUAGAAAAAUGACAAGCUAUCACUUUAAAUUUCAGGGGGUUUCCUGGCCU